rfam:Myotis brandtii contig232802, whole genome shotgun sequence.
GGCAGUUCUCGGGUGAUGCAACCUGGAAUCGGGCUCCCUCCUCUCUGGUUCCAUGUGCAUCACCCAAGAACCGUG